CAGACUCCUACGGGAGGCAGCAGUAGGGAAUCUUCGGCAAUGGACGGAAGUCUGACCGAGCAACGCCGCGUGAGUGAAGAAGGCUUUCGGAUCGUAAAGCUCUGUUGUAAGAGAAGAACGAGUGUGAGAGUGGAAAGUUCACACUGUGACGGUAUCUUACCAGAAAGGGACGGCUAACUACGUGCCAGCAGCCGCGGUAAUACGUAGGUCCCGAGCGUUGUCCGGAUUUAUUGGGCGUAAAGCGAGCGCAGGCGGUUAGAUAAGUCUGAAGUUAAAGGCUGUGGCUUAACCAUAGUAGGCUUUGGAAACUGUUUAACUUGAGUGCAAGAGGGGAGAGUGGAAUUCCAUGUGUAGCGGUGAAAUGCGUAGAUAUAUGGAGGAACACCAGUGGCGAAAGCGGCUCUCUGGCUUGUAACUGACGCUGAGGCUCGAAAGCGUGGGGAGCAAACAGGAUUAGAUACCCUGGUAGUCCACGCUGUAAACGAUGAGUGCUAGGUGUUAGACCCUUUCCGGGGUUUAGUGCCGUAGCUAACGCAUUAAGCACUCCGCCUGGGG
rnacentral:rRNA from 1 species